GGAGAGGUGCCGGAGCGGUUGAUCGGAGUUGCCUGCUAAGCAAUUGGCCUGGGCAACUGGGCCCCUGGGUUCAAAUCCCAGCCUCUCCG
rnacentral:tRNA from 1 species